rnacentral:tRNA from 1 species
GCCAGGCUGGCUCAAUUGGUAGAGCAUGUGACUCUUGAUCUCAGGGUUGUGGGUUCAAGCCCUAUGUUGAGUG